rnacentral:rRNA from 1 species
UACGGAGGGGGCUAGCGUUGUUCGGAAUUACUGGGCGUAAAGCGUACGUAGGCGGCUUUGUAAGUUAGAGGUGAAAGCCCGGGGCUCAACCCCGGAAUUGCCUUCGAUACUGGGAGUCUCGAGUUCGGGAGAGGUGAGUGGAACUGCGAGUGUAGAGGUGAAAUUCGUAGAUAUUCGCAAGAACACCAGUGGCGAAGGCGGCUCACUGGCCCGAUACUGACGCUGAGGCACGAAAGCGUGGGGAGCAAACAGG